rnacentral:rRNA from 1 species
AUUGAACGCUGGCGGCAGGCCUAACACAUGCAAGUCGAGCGAGCGGCGGACGGGUGAGUAAUGUCUGGGAAACUGCCUGAUGGAGGGGGAUAACUACUGGAAACGGUAGCUAAUACCGCAUACCAUCAGAUGUGCCCAGAUGGGGGUGGCUAGUAUGUGGGGUAAAGGGUCACAUAGGCGACGAUCCCUAGCUGGUCUGAGAGGAUGACCAGCCACACUGGAACUGAGACACGUUCCAGACUCCUCCGGGAGGCAGCAGUGGGGACUAUUGCACGAUGGGCGCAAGCCUGAUGCAGCCAUGCCGCGUGUAUGAAGGAGGCCUUCGGGUUGUAAAGUACUUUCAGCUGUGAGGCGUUACCCGCAGAAGAAGCACCGGCUAACUCCGUGCCAGCCGCCGCGGUAAUAC